AUCAGCCUACCUAAGCUGCUGAACAUGCUGAAAACAGCAGAGAGCCAUUUCAAAGGUGAAAAGGCUCCAGUUCUUCUUGUCGAUAAGAUCAACAAGAAGAAAGGCAAGAAGGAUUUUAAGAAAAAGCUAAACCCUAAGGCUGGCAUCUUCAAGAAGAAGGUGAAGAAGAUCUCCAUCAAAGGUACUUUCUAUCACUGUGGU
rnacentral:lncRNA from 1 species